GUCGUACGCUUCUUUUUCACCGGAGCUUGCUCCACCGGAAAAAGAAGAGUGGCGAACGGGUGAGUAACACGUGGGUAACCUGCCCAUCAGAAGGGGAUAACACUUGGAAACAGGUGCUAAUACCGUAUAACAAUCGAAACCGCAUGGUUUUGAUUUGAAAGGCGCUUUCGGGUGUCGCUGAUGGAUGGACCCGCGGUGCAUUAGCUAGUUGGUGAGGUAACGGCUCACCAAGGCCACGAUGCAUAGCCGACCUGAGAGGGUGAUCGGCCACAUUGGGACUGAGACACGGCCCAAACUCCUACGGGAGGCAGCAGUAGGGAAUCUUCGGCAAUGGACGAAAGUCUGACCGAGCAACGCCGCGUGAGUGAAGAAGGUUUUCGGAUCGUAAAACUCUGUUGUUAGAGAAGAACAAGGAUGAGAGUAACUGUUCAUCCCUUGACGGUAUCUAACCAGAAAGCCACGGCUAACUACGUGCCAGCAGCCGCGGUAAUACGUAGGUGGCAAGCGUUGUCCGGAUUUAUUGGGCGUAAAGCGAGCGCAGGCGGUUUCUUAAGUCUGAUGUGAAAGCCCCCGGCUCAACCGGGGAGGGUCAUUGGAAACUGGGAGACUUGAGUGCAGAAGAGGAGAGUGGAAUUCCAUGUGUAGCGGUGAAAUGCGUAGAUAUAUGGAGGAACACCAGUGGCGAAGGCGGCUCUCUGGUCUGUAACUGACGCUGAGGCUCGAAAGCGUGGGGAGCAAACAGGAUUAGAUACCCUGGUAGUCCACGCCGUAAACGAUGAGUGCUAAGUGUUGGAGGGUUUCCGCCCUUCAGUGCUGCAGCUAACGCAUUAAGCACUCCGCCUGGGGAGUACGACCGCAAGGUUGAAACUCAAAGGAAUUGACGGGGGCCCGCACAAGCGGUGGAGCAUGUGGUUUAAUUCGAAGCAACGCGAAGAACCUUACCAGGUCUUGACAUCCUUUGACCACUCUAGAGAUAGAGCUUCCCCUUCGGGGGCAAAGUGACAGGUGGUGCAUGGUUGUCGUCAGCUCGUGUCGUGAGAUGUUGGGUUAAGUCCCGCAACGAGCGCAACCCUUAUUGUUAGUUGCCAUCAUUUAGUUGGGCACUCUAGCAAGACUGCCGGUGACAAACCGGAGGAAGGUGGGGAUGACGUCAAAUCAUCAUGCCCCUUAUGACCUGGGCUACACACGUGCUACAAUGGGAAGUACAACGAGUCGCGAAGUCGCGAGGCUAAGCUAAUCUCUUAAAGCUUCUCUCAGUUCGGAUUGUAGGCUGCAACUCGCCUACAUGAAGCCGGAAUCGCUAGUAAUCGCGGAUCAGCACGCCGCGGUGAAUACGUUCCCGGGCCUUGUACACACCGCCCGUCACACCACGAGAGUUUGUAACACCCGAAGUCGGUGAGGUAACC
rnacentral:rRNA from 1 species